AUGAGAUCUCUUUUUUUACUUGUACUAUUAGCCAUUCUGGAUAAAUCUGUUGGCCAGACAAUAACAUCAUUGCAGACCACAAAACAUGUCACUGAGAGAGAGACAGUCAUUCUCUCAUGCAAAUAUGAUAGCCAAGCACGUAGUUUACAUUGGUAUCGACAAUAUCCUGGAUCCAGACCAGAAUUUCUGCUUCUUGUUUAUGAGUCAGGCAGUGUAACACCUGCAGAUCCCCCUUUCCCAAGACUGAAUGGCAGCGUGAAUAAGGUGGAGAAGCAGGUAGAUCUGCAGAUCUCUUCUGCUGCUGUCACAGAUUCAGCGCUGUACUACUGCGCCCUGGAGCCCACAGUGACAGGAAGAGCAAACACACUGUACAAAAACCUAAGAGGAGUAAUGUUAAAAUAAUGGUGAUGUAACGUUGAAGUAAUGUUGAUGUACUGUUAGAGUCAAAUCAUGUUCAUGAAUUAGAUUAUUAACAUUAUUGUAGUAUGAAGCAGA